UUUCAAAAUUCUCUUUAUAUAAAUUUAAAGUAAGCCCAUAAAUAAUAUGCAUCACUUAUAUCAAACAAUCAUCUAGUAAUUUUGCUCAAAGGAUUUUCAAAUCUAAAACAUUUCCAUUUCACAUAAGUAUCGUACAAUUUUUCAAUUUAAAAUGAUAAAAAAAUAAAUUCCUACAAAAGACUCUAACCCACAAAUGAUCACAAACUGGUCAAACACUAAAGAUACAUGUCACCUAGAGAGUACUCCGAUGACGUCAUCAAUACAUAUCAAAGAGAUCAUUCUCUUCAGACUCCAAAAAUAAAACUAGACCACCAAUCAGCACUAACGUUCUUUAUUUUAAUGUCUCUCACAAUGCCAUUUUUCUUUUCUCAAUGAACUUCAACUUGAGGUCUUAGUAUCCUGCACUAACUGUUGUGAGGGGUGAAUCACUCGUACACAAGUUACCAUCGUGAUGAUGUCACAAGGCUACAGAUAAUAUUAUACAAGUAUAUACAUUUAUUUAACUAGUAUAUAUACAUACCUGAGUAUCUAAUCAUGUAUUUACAUCAAAUAGAAUCAAAUAGUCACGUAUAGUCAAAUAGUCACAAAAAUAUGAAUUGCACAAAACAUUAUAUCAAUAUCACAAUUCAACAAUUAGUCAAAAACAAAGAUAAUCAAAUAUAUCCAAUAUAUCAAUCAUCAAAUAUNNNNNNNNNNNNNNNNNNNNNNNNNNNNNNNNNNNNNNNNNNNNNNNNNNNNNNNNNNNNNNNNNNNNNNNNNNNNNNNNNNNNNNNNNNNGAUAGUCCUGCACAGUCAGGGUUCACCACGUCGGGUUGUAUGAUUUCCUCCAGUUAGAGUGGCUAUCUCUGACUAUUGGUAGGAGUUCAAGACGUCGGUGAUCCCCAUUAGGUCUUGAGGCGACCUAGACGAACCUAUCCUCAGUCUUACAUACAUUAUCGUACUGUAAGAAACACCAUGUUUUGCUCUUCACCUAUCAAAUGUGAUUAAUUAUUUAACUCUUCAACUUAAUUUGUCUUUGUCAAUAUCUAACUUAGACAUAUUAAUCCUCAAAACUCACCAUACAACUUAUGAGAUCACCUCAAACUUUCACCAUAAACACUCAAGCACAUAAUAAAUAACAAACCAAAGACAUAGAUAAUUUAUUUAUUCUUCUUCACAAAAACAAUUUCAAAUCGUAUCAUUGCAGAAGAUUUAUUCACAUAAACUCAAACCAAAUCAAAUCACUCAUCAUUUUGCAUUUUGCAUAUACCUUAAUGAAUUUAAAUUACUAUAAAGUACACAACACCCCUAAUUAUAACUAAUAAUAUAUAUACAAAUAACACAUUUCUUGUGCUCAUCGAAACUUAUUAUUAGCAAUGCCCCUUACCUCGAAGCUUUCCAAAAUAACUUGAGCAAUCACCUUCAUCUAGGACACCUAUUAACUCAUCAAAACAACUAUUUCUUAACUAACUAGAAUUAUAAUUAAAUUCUAACAAUACUAAUGUAUUAAAAGAAAUUAUGCAAGAACAGGAACCUAACAUAAUUAAGAAAAUUGCAUGACAUCUACUUCUUAUUCUCAUACGUGUAUAUGGUUUCAUAGUAAAUGAAACAAAGACUCUCAACUCAUCACAUGAAUCCAAAGUUUAGAAGUAUCUUGUUACCAACUUGUUACAUACACUUUACUUGUGAUCACUUAAAGAAUCAAUAAGGGUACUAAACAUGAGUUCAUUGCUAAUAUAAAAUCAAGUGAAAAUAGACAACCUGUUAACUAAAACAUUUGAGUAAGUGCUCUGUUUUUAGAAAUAUUGGAAAAAGACUCUUAGUUUCAUAGAGUUGGCUUAAGCUAGAAUUUAGAAGAAUUGCAUAAUAAGCACUUUGUUUCCUUCAUAAGUAAUAGGACUAUAGCUACAUUAAAGAUCUUGGAAGUUAUUGAAAAUACAAGUGUCUAAAGGUUUUUAGAAUGAAUGAAAGAGAUGAGUUACUUAAAAGAAUAAAACAAACAGAAUAUAGAGUGUUAGCGUAAUAGUAGAAUGGAAGAAAAGUUAAGAGCUUGACCUUCAGCAAGCAGGUUGCCGAAAG
rnacentral:lncRNA from 1 species